rnacentral:tRNA from 1 species
GGCGGCGAUGGGCAAGUGGUUUUAUCUCCUUUAAUUUUAAAAAACUUUUUUCGGUUCAAUUCCGAACGCCGCCC